GCCCUUCGGGGACCCGACCGGCGGACGGGUGAGUAACACGUAAGCGACGUAACCCUGUGCGGGGGACAACCCGGGGAAACCCGGGCUAAUACCGCAUGGACGGUGGGGCUGCAUGGCUCUGCUGGGAAACCCGGCCUCCUCACAGUGCCGGGGCGCAGGGAGCGGCUUGCGGGCUAUCAGCUAGUUGGUGGGGAAAUGGCUCACCAAGGCGACGACGGCUAGGGGGUCUGAGAUGUUUCCCCCCCACGAAGGACUGAGACAUGGUUCACACUCCGGAAUCUAGAAGAUCUCCUG
rnacentral:misc_RNA from 1 species